AGAAGAGAUGGGACUGGGAGAGAAUGGAACAUAGGAGAAAGGUAGGAGGGAGCGGAGCACGGAUGCGCUGCCGUGCUGGAGCUAGGAAAUGUAGAAACCGAGAAUUGGAAGCUAGGCUGUGGCCGUGAAUGAGGUCAGUUUAGGCUUCCGUUUGGAGGUAAGGAUACAUUAACCAA